UUUUUUAAUUGAGGACUGGGAUGAAAGAUAAAAACUAGAAAGGAAUGUUUUGUUUAAUGAUUUUGAAGUUUAAUUAAAAGUAAAAAUGCUUUUAUAAAUUUUUGGGACGAGAAGACCCUAGAAGCUUAAUAUUUAUUAAGAAUUUAAGUUAUAUUAAGAAUAUUUUAAUUGGGGCAAUUUUUGAAGAAAUAAAUUUUUGAAUAGUAAUAAAGGAAUUAUUAAGAAAGUUACUCUAGGGAUAACAGAGUAAUUUAAUUUAAGAGUUCUUAUUAAUAAUUAAGUUUACUACCUCGAUGUUGAAUUAAAU
rnacentral:rRNA from 1 species